UAAAAGACUAAAAUUGAAGCUGCUAACUUUGAUUAGGGGGAUGUUGUCCUCCUCUUUUAU
rnacentral:tRNA from 1 species